UCCUAUUUGGCUCAGUUGGUAGAGCAUGGUGCUUGCAACGCAAGGGUUGUGGGUUUGAUUCCCACGGGGGGCA
rnacentral:tRNA from 1 species